UGCACACUAGAGGAGAAACGUGCGCGGCGCUCCGCCGGCGGCAAAGCCCAGCUGGGGCAGAGCGGCCGCAACAUCUGGCUGGCCAGCUGCUGCGGCAGUCAUGAGGCAGCAUGAAAUUGUUACCUCCUCUCGUUUAGUCUGCGUGUAGGGGCGCGAUGUAGCGUGCUUUUCCUUCGUCUGCUGAAAGAAUGGCGCUGUGUUUGCGUUUUUCCUUCUUGACGAGAGUUAUGUCUUUUGAAGAUGACGACAUAGCUGCCAUUAAUCAUAAUCAUCUUCGUGUGCUCCAUUCUGUUGCGGCGUCGCCGCAUUCAAAGGACAAGGAGAAUGAGGUACGGGCUGUCGCGCCCACGACCUUGUUUCAAGUUUCCAAGGAGCCGUUCAUCUAAAAGUUAACAAGUUUCUUCGAUGUCAACGUAAUGCUCAUUAACUUAUGAGUUCAAGACACAAAAUUCACCACAAUCUGGUGAUGCAACCCGAUUUCAAGCUUUCCUCGAAAACUUAUUACUUGCUGUUGUGCCAUACUACGAGCACAACGUGGCGACCACGAGGCGACGGGUGCUGCCCUACUACAUGCACCACGUGGCCACCACGCGGCGACGAGAGCUCCCACUUCUCCGCGACGAAUCGGGAAUUCGACAUGGGAGGCGACUUCAAGGAGCACCCAGCCAUCUCCGUGGCGCCCUGACAUCUCCGCGACGAAUCAGGAAUUCGACGCGGGUGAGGUAUUCAGCCUGCCCCACCUGGCUCCUGCCGACGAGAACUCGCCCGAACCGGUUCCUCCCGACGAGGCGUCACCGAAGGGAUUUAAGGAAGAACCGGCCCAUUGUGAGGAGAGAGAGUCGCUUGCAGCCGCCCAGUCGGUCUGAUGUGCUCCUAAUGCUACUUUUUAAACCAAUUAACCAAUUAAUCAAUUUAUUAUUAUUACACAUUUAUUAUGUGUAAUAAUAACACUAUCAUCGCUUGUACGCUAUCAUCCAGUAUCUGUAAAUAUUGUAUAAAGUUUUUCAUUUCUUCUUCAUCUACGGAACGAGUCCGUCUUUCGUCCUCCAUCCCGAAGUCACAACAUUACGUAACAGAUGAAAAAAAACCACCUUGCAUUCAACCUUGCGAAACUGGAUGUACAGUGAAGCUGUUGCCGACGUUACAGAAGUACAACCCACGUUAGACAGGCACCACCACAACCAACGACAUACGUCACGCGCUAACGCACGUGUGCUGGGAGUGCAGCAUACAUCUUCAUUCUUCUAGACGCUCCGCCAAGCGCCAGUGCGUUAUUCAACAAAUUUAAUUUCUCAAAGAAAAUUGUGCGAUAAAAUUUGUGAAGCACGAAUUACACACAAGCUGGAGGCAUGAUAGCUUCGGGUUCUAAUUCGAAUACGCGAGAAGACCUAAUUAUGUUACGCGGAAACAUGCCGUUUGAGGUCUGUCUGCGUGGCCGCGGCCACCAGGUGGUGGUACUGUUUUAGAUGAGCACAGCACGAGCCCACGAAAAAUCCCCACCAACUACACGCAAACAGCUUAGCUGUAAAAUCAAUUUUGUGUAGGGAGGAGGCGUCAAUAUUAACGUACUUUUUUCUUCCCAGUUACGACGGAAUUUCCAGUGUUUAAUCACAACAUCUGGUUUUCAAGUACACUAGAUACAAGCCACCGUGUUACUGCUGACAGCGCUUCCUUAUUAGAUGUAUUCAUUAUAAACAUUGUUGUUCACUGAUUAGUCGCCAACGUUGUGUAGACACAUAUUAGUGAUGAUUUGGGUAUGAAAUGCACCAGGCGAACCAGAAACGUAGCAAAGCAGUUUUUGUACAGUGUAUUACGAUUAUUAAAAGGAAAAGAGGCGUCCACCCCAUCGUAGCAAUUGCUACGAAAUGAUCCCAUACAUAUUCCUCGAAAGAAAAGCUUCGCUGUUGAAGAAAAUUCUGUCCUGGUAUGGGACUCGAAUCCGGGACCACCACCUUUCGUGGGCAGCCGCUCUACUAUCUGAACUAACAAGGCGGCUAGCCUGGUUAGUGUAUCAAGAUGUUAAACAUUCAAGCCUUUCGCCAUGCUACCGUUCAGGAUUCUUAGGAGUGCUUUUACCGAGCACUAGACAGUGACUCAGUAUAUUAAGCUUUCUUGAAUAUUUUCUAAAUUUUAUAUAACGCACAUCUCUCCUAUAAAAAAAAUUGACGGGGCUAUCUAAUGCACGGGAACCUUAGCUAGUUAUUGGCCUAUUUCUAUUAUUGCUGUCUUUUAUAAAGGUAUUUUAAAAAUAGUGCAGGUCAUAGUGCUGUCAAUUUUUUUUAAUCACCACAACGGGCUUGAUGAUUUUGAAUAAGCUUGAGAAAGCGCCCUUCAGCGGCCUUCCUGGCUGAAAAGAUAUCAUUGUAGAUGCAUUCAGUCGUAAACAUCUGGAAUUAGGCAUAUACAUUGGUUUUUUGCAAGGUUUUUGAAUUAUAUGUUCGUUUCAUUCAUCUCAACAAAUUAGAAAAGUACGGUGUGCGCGGAAGCGCCUUGACUUUGUGAAAUAUUAUCCUUCAAACAGAAAGCACUUCGUAGAUAGCAAUAAUACGACAUCUGUAGGCAAUUAGUCAUUGCUGGUGUGCUGCAAGGAAGCAUUUUAGGGCCACUGCUGCUCUUGGUUUGCAUAGAUGACAUAGCAUGCUGCACAUAUAAUGACACAUUUGUUUAUUACGUUGAUGUCAUGAUAUUUAUAAUGACAGGUAACCUGAAAACCGACAAAGAAAAAAAGGCUAACAAGACAUUGCCUGAUUUAGAAAUCUGGGCCGCGGCAUUGUGUACAUAAAUAGACUCUAAGAAAGCAUAGGUAAUUUUGUACACGCCUAAACGCGAAACGUUGGAAAAGCUGAUGAAGCUGAGAUUCCAACAGUCAGAGAUUUUGGACUCCGUUCAUAUAUUUGGAGUACAUAUGUCGAAGCACCUUACUUGGAAGUUCUAUGUAUACUACCUACAAUUCAAUAGAAUAUGUGCAAUUGUUGCGAUUGCUCUGCUACGAGUUCUCCCUACUAAGGCCAAAAUUACACUAUACAACGUUUUUGUCGUAUCACACAUAUAAUACUGCAGCGUGGUGCUCGGCACAAGUGGUGUGACAAAUGUGCGGGUUACAUUUGCUACAGAGGAGACAUGUGCGUUACAACAAGCUUACCCAACAAAACCGCUUUUUUUGAAAGCAUGAAAUAUUUAGAUUUGUUGUUUUUACACUUAUAGAAUCACAAUGUGUGACACAGCUCUCGUUAAAGCUGUAUAUAUAUUAUAUAAAUCACCGCACAAAAUUACAAGUAAACAUGGGUGUUCGUCAGACGAGGCAAAGAAAUGUGGUUAGUAGCUAAAACUAAAACUUUUUAGGAAGAUCAAUCUUUGUCUAUGACCCUACCUUCGCUACUAAACUCGUGAAAUCGUGAAGCCUUAAUCGUUCUUAACCAAAAAUACUGCAUUAAAAGCUUUUUCCACAUUAGUUACUUGCAGGACUAGAGAGAGAAAGAGAGAGAAAGUUACAUGUAUUAGUAUAAUGUGGGCACCAUCGUGGGCCGAUCAGGCAGUGUAAUCCGCAUUGUGAUUUCCCGUAACUGAUAUAAACCACAUAUCCUAUCUGUUCUUGUUUUAAAUCAGCUGUUCAUGUUUUACCAUAUCGUUUUAAUUACAAAUUUAGUUUGUUUAGUGCAUUUGUCACUUUUCUUCCACAUCACUCAGCACAUUGUAGUGUAGCCCAUAUAUUGUACAAUUCCACCUGUAAGCCUGGUCGUUAUUUUGCUGUAUUGGCAACUUGCCAUUGGCCAAAAUUUCGACAAGCCUUUGAAAUUUUUAGUCCUGUAGUGCUCCUUAUGAAAGGAAAUGCAAAGUAUUUUUAUUUAUUGAUAGACUGGUAUACAUAUUAUCGCGAAGUUCGCGGACAUUUAUCAUUUAUGUUUAAAGAACCAGUGUUUCCUUCAGACAAUCUUUAUUUCUGUAUGGAUUGAGUUCCAUAGUGGGUGAGAUUUUACACACUAUUCAGUGUAGAAUAUAACCACAACAAAAUAAUAUAUACAUCAGCAGUAGUUCUAUUUCUCUCUACAUCGCGGGGUGCUUGCAUAACCUGUGAAAAUCGGUGCCUUCAAGCGAUGAAGCGUUCAUGAUGACUCGUAACAUCCGAGUCACAACUCUGUCAGUACAACCAGCUGCCAGCUGCACGCUGCGUCGAAUGCGUUCAGUCAAAGCGUGGAUUUUAGUUUGCUGCUAAUUGUGCUUUGGAAGGAGAAGCUUUGCGCCGGGGCGCAACCCUCAAUUUUAUUUAUUUAUGGGGUGUUACGCGCAAAAAUCACAAUCCGAUUAUAAGGCACGCUGCAGGGGUGGCCCCACAUUAAUUUUCACCACAUGGAGUCUCUAACUUGCACUCGAAGCACGGCACACGAGCAUUUUUAAAUUCCACCGUCUCAAUACCUAUCCUUAGCUGCACGGUAAAAGCGAAUAGCGCAAACCAGGACGACCACCAAAAGUGAGGGACACACACAGUGUGUCAGUGAUACAUCCUUAUCUCUUUACGCUGCAGAGUGUCAGUUUUUAAGCUCCGAUACCUGUUAAGUUCCUGGCGUAAGUGAUGUGUUCCUUUUGAUUACGUUUGCGCUAGUGUGGCCAUGCUGUAUAUAUGUGCGUUGUGGUGGCAAAAUAAAAGCAGUUAUUAGUA